GACGAACGCUGGCGGCGUGCUUAACACAUGCAAGUCGAACGGAAAGGCCCUGCUUUUGUGGGGUGCUCGAGUGGCGAACGGGUGAGUAACACGUGAGUAACCUGCCCUUGACUUUGGGAUAACUUCAGGAAACUGGGGCUAAUACCGGAUAGGAGCUCCUGCUGCAUGGUGGGGGUUGGAAAGUUUCGGCGGUUGGGGAUGGACUCGCGGCUUAUCAGCUUGUUGGUGGGGUAGUGGCUUACCAAGGCUUUGACGGGUAGCCGGCCUGAGAGGGUGACCGGCCACAUUGGGACUGAGAUGCGGCCCAGACUCCUACGGGAGGCAGCAGUGGGGAAUAUUGCACAAUGGGCGGAAGCCUGAUGCAGCAACGCCGCGUGCGGGAUGACGGCCUUCGGGUUGUAAACCGCUUUCGCCUGUGACGAAGCGUGAGUGACGGUAAUGGGCAAAGAAGCACCGGCUAACUACGUG
rnacentral:rRNA from 1 species